rnacentral:rRNA from 1 species
GGGUUGUGAGGUUAAGCGACUAAGCGUACACGGUGGAUGCCCUGGCAGUCAGAGGCGAUGAAGGACGUGCUAAUCUGCGAUAAGCGUCGGUAAGGUGAUAUGAACCGUUAUAACCGGCGAUUUCCGAAUGGGGAAACCCAGUGUGUUUCGACACACUAUCAUUAACUGAAUCCAUAGGUUAAUGAGGCGAACCGGGGGAACUGAAACAUCUAAGUACCCCGAGGAAAAGAAAUCAACCGAGAUUCCCCCAGUAGCGGCGAGCGAACGGGGAGGAGCCCAGAGUCUGAAUCAGUGUGUGUGUUAGUGGAAGCGUCUGGAAAGGCGCGCGAUACAGGGUGACAGCCCCGUACACAAAAAUGCACAUACUGUGAGCUCGAUGAGUAGGGCGGGACACGUGGUAUCCUGUCUGAAUAUGGGGGGACCAUCCUCCAAGGCUAAAUACUCCUGACUGACCGAUAGUGAACCAGUACCGUGAGGGAAAGGCGAAAAGAACCCCGGCGAGGGGAGUGAAAAAGAACCUGAAACCGUGUACGUACAAGCAGUGGGAGCACGCUUAGGCGUGUGACUGCGUACCUUUUGUAUAAUGGGUCAGCGACUUAUAUUCUGUAGCAAGGUUAACCGAAUAGGGGAGCCGAAGGGAAACCGAGUCUUAACUGGGCGUUAAGUUGCAGGGUAUAGACCCGAAACCCGGUGAUCUAGCCAUGGGCAGGUUGAAGGUUGGGUAACACUAACUGGAGGACCGAACCGACUAAUGUUGAAAAAUUAGCGGAUGACUUGUGGCUGGGGGUGAAAGGCCAAUCAAACCGGGAGAUAGCUGGUUCUCCCCGAAAGCUAUUUAGGUAGCGCCUCGUGAAUUCAUCUCCGGGGGUAGAGCACUGUUUCGGCAAGGGGGUCAUCCCGACUUACCAACCCGAUGCAAACUGCGAAUACCGGAGAAUGUUAUCACGGGAGACACACGGCGGGUGCUAACGUCCGUCGUGAAGAGGGAAACAACCCAGACCGCCAGCUAAGGUCCCAAAGUCAUGGUUAAGUGGGAAACGAUGUGGGAAGGCCCAGACAGCCAGGAUGUUGGCUUAGAAGCAGCCAUCAUUUAAAGAAAGCGUAAUAGCUCACUGGUCGAGUCGGCCUGCGCGGAAGAUGUAACGGGGCUAAACCAUGCACCGAAGCUGCGGCAGCGACGCUUAUGCGUUGUUGGGUAGGGGAGCGUUCUGUAAGCCUGUGAAGGUGUGCUGUGAGGCAUGCUGGAGGUAUCAGAAGUGCGAAUGCUGACAUAAGUAACGAUAAAGCGGGUGAAAAGCCCGCUCGCCGGAAGACCAAGGGUUCCUGUCCAACGUUAAUCGGGGCAGGGUGAGUCGACCCCUAAGGCGAGGCCGAAAGGCGUAGUCGAUGGGAAACAGGUUAAUAUUCCUGUACUUGGUGUUACUGCGAAGGGGGGACGGAGAAGGCUAUGUUGGCCGGGCGACGGUUGUCCCGGUUUAAGCGUGUAGGCUGGUUUUCCAGGCAAAUCCGGAAAAUCAAGGCUGAGGCGUGAUGACGAGGCACUACGGUGCUGAAGCAACAAAUGCCCUGCUUCCAGGAAAAGCCUCUAAGCAUCAGGUAACAUCAAAUCGUACCCCAAACCGACACAGGUGGUCAGGUAGAGAAUACCAAGGCGCUUGAGAGAACUCGGGUGAAGGAACUAGGCAAAAUGGUGCCGUAACUUCGGGAGAAGGCACGCUGAUAUGUAGGUGAAGUCCCUUGCGGAUGGAGCUGAAAUCAGUCGAAGAUACCAGCUGGCUGCAACUGUUUAUUAAAAACACAGCACUGUGCAAACACGAAAGUGGACGUAUACGGUGUGACGCCUGCCCGGUGCCGGAAGGUUAAUUGAUGGGGUCAGCGCAAGCGAAGCUCUUGAUCGAAGCCCCGGUAAACGGCGGCCGUAACUAUAACGGUCCUAAGGUAGCGAAAUUCCUUGUCGGGUAAGUUCCGACCUGCACGAAUGGCGUAAUGAUGGCCAGGCUGUCUCCACCCGAGACUCAGUGAAAUUGAACUCGCUGUGAAGAUGCAGUGUACCCGCGGCAAGACGGAAAGACCCCGUGAACCUUUACUAUAGCUUGACACUGAACAUUGAGCCUUGAUGUGUAGGAUAGGUGGGAGGCUUUGAAGUGUGGACGCCAGUCUGCAUGGAGCCGACCUUGAAAUACCACCCUUUAAUGUUUGAUGUUCUAACGUGGACCCGUGAUCCGGGUUGCGGACAGUGUCUGGUGGGUAGUUUGACUGGGGCGGUCUCCUCCUAAAGAGUAACGGAGGAGCACGAAGGUUGGCUAAUCCUGGUCGGACAUCAGGAGGUUAGUGCAAUGGCAUAAGCCAGCUUGACUGCGAGCGUGACGGCGCGAGCAGGUGCGAAAGCAGGUCAUAGUGAUCCGGUGGUUCUGAAUGGAAGGGCCAUCGCUCAACGGAUAAAAGGUACUCCGGGGAUAACAGGCUGAUACCGCCCAAGAGUUCAUAUCGACGGCGGUGUUUGGCACCUCGAUGUCGGCUCAUCACAUCCUGGGGCUGAAGUAGGUCCCAAGGGUAUGGCUGUUCGCCAUUUAAAGUGGUACGCGAGCUGGGUUUAGAACGUCGUGAGACAGUUCGGUCCCUAUCUGCCGUGGGCGCUGGAGAACUGAGGGGGGCUGCUCCUAGUACGAGAGGACCGGAGUGGACGCAUCACUGGUGUUCGGGUUGUCAUGCCAAUGGCACUGCCCGGUAGCUAAAUGCGGAAGAGAUAAGUGCUGAAAGCAUCUAAGCACGAAACUUGCCCCGAGAUGAGUUCUCCCUGACUCCUUGAGAGUCCUGAAGGAACGUUGAAGACGACGACGUUGAUAGGCCGGGUGUGUAAGCGCAGCGAUGCGUUGAGCUAACCGGUACUAAUGAACCGUGAGGCUUAACCUUACAACGCCGAAGCUGUU